AAUCAAAAUCGUUAUGUCAAACCACGUAUUACGGAACGUGCAAGUCAUGGCGUGUACUUGUGUGAAAAAUGUUUGUUUGUUUUGAUUUAAAAAUUUGAAGAAAAAAUACCUUCUACGAAUUGUUUUGAUGCAAAGAACCGUUUAAAAUUCAUAACAAGUAAAAAGGUGCUUAUCUAUUAACUGAGAUGGGUCUUAAGAAGAAAAAGAAUGUUAUUGUGCUCGCGGCAUGCGUUUUUAUAAGUUUUAUCUUGUACCAGUUGUACUUCUUUUUGACGAUCACAUCUGAAACCGCUGCCGGCUUUAAAAUAGUAACCGUGAUAGAUCAUUCCAAAUUGGAUCCAAAAGAACAUAUUCGUUCAGAAGCAGAUAAGUACAUAAACGAAAAUGGCAUCAUAAGAGGUGUGCAUUAUGCCUUGAUGCCGAAAUAUCGGCCAGAUUCAAACAUGCAAUUCAAAUGUCUGAACUCCGAUCAAAGAAUACCGUUUGAGCAAGUUAACGAUGACUAUUGCGACUGUGAUGACUCUUCAGAUGAACCGAGCACAACUGCCUGUGUAAACGGCACCUUUUUUUGCGACACCCAAUAUCCAAGCAAGCAGGUAGCCUACAACAAUGUGCCAUCAAAUAAAGUCAACGAUGGAAUCUGUGACUGCUGCGAUGGCUCUGAUGAAUGGCUACAUGCACCUCAUCAAAAAAUAUUAUCUCAGAGCCACAAAAAUUACAGACAUUAUGUGACAAAGUGUCCUAGUCGAUGUUUUAAAUAAAUUUUGUGUCCUUAAAACCAAAUUGUAAAAUAUUUGUUAGCAUUUGGCAACUACUUGUUUAAACUGUAAAAAGGUAUAUUGUCUUUAUUCAAGUACCUACUAAGUACUGAUGAUUGUAAAGAUAUAGAUAAUUCAUAAAAUUAAGUAAUAACAUUCCUAUACUUUUGAUUAUUGUAAUAUUUGUUAUAUCUGUUUGAAUGGUAAGCCUUAUACAAUUUUUUUUCCUGUAUAAUUUAAUAAUUUUAAAGUGCCUCAAUAUUACUUUUAAAAUAAGUACCUAAUCCUUAUUAAAAUUUUGGCAAGAUAAGAUAAUGUUUGGAAAAUGAUCAUAGUAUCAAUUUUCUGUGCCAAUAAUGCUUGUCUUCUUUUUUCACCAGACUUAGCUGAAUAAAAUAUUGUUCAUUGGCAACAAAAGUUUUACAACCCAAAAAUCUGUAAAUCUACAACACUAUUUUAUUUGAAUUUCAUUGUUGUAUCAUUGGGGUUGUGCAAGUAUCUAAAUCAUUUAUUUUAAAUGUUAUUUUUAAUUAAAUAAAUACCUACUGUAUACAUGAAUGAAGUUGUCAUCUUCAUACUGUGAAACUUAGAUGUGAAAUUACAAAACAUAAUUUGAACCAACUGUAGGUAGGCCAAGGAUGUGCGCCGCGAUAAGCUUGUAUCGCGCCAUUUUAUCGAUUUCACGUGAUAAGCCCAUACGUUUGUCGAAUAAAAUCAUCCAUUAGAUUUUAUCACGCACAGCGCAACUCAAAGGGAGCGCACUCCACUGUGCCAAUACGCAUUAUAAAAUUGUAAAAUAAAUGUUUUUCAUUCUUAUCAACGUGUAUGUAAAAUAUUUCUACUUAAUAGAGAUUUAUUAAGAAGACUGAAUUAAUAAAAAUAAAUUAUUAUGAACUCAA